AUUGAACGCUGGCGGCAUGCCUUACACAUGCAAGUCGAACGGCAGCACGGGUGCUUGCACCUGGUGGCGAGUGGCGAACGGGUGAGUAAUACAUCGGAACAUGUCCUGUAGUGGGGGAUAGCCCGGCGAAAGCCGGAUUAAUACCGCAUACGAUCUACGGAUGAAAGCGGGGGACCUUCGGGCCUCGCGCUAUAGGGUUGGCCGAUGGCUGAUUAGCUAGUUGGGGGGGUAAAGGCCUACCAAGGCGACGAUCAGUAGCUGGUCUGAGAGGACGACCAGCCACACUGGGAGUGAGACACGGCCCAGACUCCUACGGGAGGCAGCAGUGGGGAAUUUUGGACAAUGGGCGAAAGCCUGAUCCAGCAAUGCCGCGUGUGUGAAGAAGGCCUUCGGGUUGUAAAGCACUUUUGUCCGGAAAGAAAUCCUUGGCCCUAAUACGGUCGGGGGAUGACGGUACCGGAAGAAUAAGCACCGGCUAACUACGUG
rnacentral:rRNA from 1 species